CAUGAUUGUAUUAGUCCAUUCUCACACUUCUGUGUGAGAACUGCCGGAGACUGGGUAAUUUAUAAAGGAAAGAGUUUUAAUUGACUUGCAGUUCCACAUGGCUUGGGAGGCCUCAGGAAACUUACAAUCAUGGUGCAAGGCAAAGGGGAAGCAAGGCACCUUCCUCACAAGGCAGCAGGAGGAAGUACCAAACACUUAAAAUACCAUCAGAUCUUGUGAGAACUCACUCACUAUCAUGAGAACAGCAUGGGGGAAACAGCCCCCAUGAUUCAAUUCCCUCCACCUGGUCUCUCCCUUGACAUAUGGGGAUUACAAUUCAAGAUGAGAUUCUGGGUGGGACACAGCCAAACCAUAUCAAUGGUCAUGUACUACAUUUAGAAUUUUGGAAGGUAUUUAUGGCGGGAUACUGAAACUGUUUUCACGUACCACAGCAGAGUCUGAAGGGCUCAGUUUGAAGAACUGGAUUCCCAACCUCAGGAUCGAUUUGGCCAUAUGGGAGGUCAGCUGGAGAUGAGGGAGACUGAAAAUUGGAGAUAACCCCAGAGAUGACGGGCAGGUUACCCUCUGUCCUCAGAUGGGAGGGGAGGUGGCUGGGGAAAGGAUUCCAACUCUGAGUUCUAUUGUGGGAAGGUGAGCAGAGUCAAGCUCUGUGGCUCAGUGGAACUUAUUCCUGCCCACAAGCUCAACAUCUCCACCUCUGCCCCCAGCAGUGGAGUUAUGACAGCAAAGGAGACAAGGUGAAUAGGGAUCACCCCAGAGGAUCAGUAUGGGAUGAGGCCAGCCGGUGAAUCACCCACGCUCCCAAGGAACCCACGCCACAGGAACACACACCUCCAGGUUUCUCCCAUCUCCGUAAGAUCUUGAGGACCUUCAACAGCACUUCAGCAAAAAACAUUUUCAGGUUUCCUCAGAACUCAGAUAACGUGUCACUCUAGUCACCCUGAAGAUUUGCCUCUUGAAAACAUAAUCGCCGUGCAGUAAAGAGGAGACCAAAAUAGAACCACAUACAGCUGCCGAAAAGUGCUGAAGAAUAUGGCGCUAAGGAGAGAAAGACACCACUAGCCAAAGGGGCAGUUUCAGCAGAAGGCUUCAGAGACCCCCGGAAGCAGACAGAAAGAAGUCCACAUGCCUUGCUGGCUGAGGAGCAAAUCGGGUCAUGAAUUUCAUCUCAGCAAUAGCCAAUAAACACAGCAGCUGCUAUACCCAGCCCUGAGACAUCUAGCACAGGAGACUUUAUAAAGAACAAGCCGAUCUCCUCUGGCAAGCAAGCCACAAAUGGAGAAGGUCUUGGCAGGAUUUUUGUGUCCUUUAUUCAUAUGGUAUCAGCACCUAAAACAGUGCCUGGCAUUAAAGCACUAGGUAAAUAUGAGUGACUGAAGAAAUACAUGCGUGGGGAGAGAAUAUAAACCAGCAGCACCAGUUAGUAACUAUACAAAGGUAAGCAAGCCAUUCAGUCUCUAGGAGCCUCUAUUUCUUCAUCAGGAAAAUAGGGUAAUGACACCUACUUUGAAAGGGUCUUAUAAGAAUUAAGGCCGGGCACAGUGGCUCAUGCCUGUAAUCUCAGCACUUUGGGAAGCCAAACUAGGUGGAUCACUUGAGGUCAGGAGUUUGAGGCCAGCCUGGCUAACAUGGUGAAACCCUGUCUCUACCAAAAAUGUAAAAAAUAGCCGGG
rnacentral:lncRNA from 10 species